GUUUAUGAUUUUAUGACUGGCAUCUCUCCUUGAUAACAGAUCCAAAAGCAAACAUGACUUUAAUAACCAUCAUUAUUUGGACACUCACAACCUGCACUUGGAGUUCUGUGGGACAAACUCUGACUCAAUCUGAAGCUCAAACAGUUCAGCCUGGUCAGACUGUCACUAUUCACUGUAAUCAUAAACCAAGCAAUAAACUGUAUUAAAGCAAAGGCUUGUCAGUAUUGUAUGGCCUGGUACCAUCAGAUUCAGGGAGAAGUUCCCUAAACUCUUGAUCUAUGCCACGUCAGACAGAGCUUCAGGUGUUUCUUCUAGAUUCAGUGGCAGUGAAAGUGGAAACCACAUGGAUUUUACUCUGACUAUCAGUGGAGUUCAGCCUGAAGAUUCAGGAGUUUAUUACUGUCAGAGUAAUCAUGACAAGGGAGGCUCAAACUGGGUGUUCACACAGUGUAAAAUCAUCAUACAAAAACCUCUUUGGCUGAGACUUCAGCGCUGCAGCUUUGAGCUCCUGCAGAUGUUGAUGUUGAAGAUCAUUAUUCACCUCACUGACUUUACACGCUUACAUACACAUAGACAUUUUAAGGCUGGAGAACUGUUAAUGUUCAUUAGUCACAAACUCAACACAUUCAGUAUAUAUUUUAUCCUGUAAUAAACAUAAGAAUGCUCAAUCUUAUUUCCACAUGAAUUACAAUCCAAUAAAAGAUGGAAGAAAGCUCA